rnacentral:rRNA from 1 species
GUGGGGAAUUUUGGACAAUGGGCGCAAGCCUGAUCCAGCAAUGCCGCGUGCAGGAUGAAGGCCUUCGGGUUGUAAACUGCUUUUGUACGGAACGAAAAGCCCUGGGUUAAUACCCUGGGGUCAUGACGGUACCGUAAGAAUAAGCACCGGCUAACUACGUGCCAGCAGCCGCGGUAAUACGUAGGGUGCGAGCGUUAAUCGGAAUUACUGGGCGUAAAGCGUGCGCAGGCGGUUUUGUAAGACAGAGGGGAAAUCCCCGGGCUCAACCUGGGAACUGCCUUUGUGACUGCAAGGCUAGAGUACGGCAGAGGGGGAUGGAAUUCCGCGUGUAGCAGUGAAAUGCGUAGAUAUGCGGAGGAACACCGAUGGCGAAGGCAAUCCCCUGGGCCUGUACUGACGCUCAUGCACGAAAGCGUGGGGAGCAAACAGGAUUAGAAACCCCUGUAGUCC